AUGAGAUCUGACGUCUACAUUGAGACCCUCACCAGUGUCAGUUAUUCACAAUCACUCACUAAGAUGGAGAGGUCAAGCGUUGCUCUCAUUGCGCUUAUUUUUUUGCUGUUCCAUCAGACAAGAAUCUAUGGAGAAGAAGUGGAGAUGAAAGUCAGACCAGGAGACAACAUCACUCUCUACUGUGAUCGCUCUAUAACUUCUGGUUCCCGCAUUGUAUGGAUAAGAAACUGCUCUCAUGAAAAUCAACCCUCUCUCAUAAUAGAUUUUACCAAAUGGGAACUGAAGAUAUUUCAGCGUUUCAGCUCUAUCUACAACCGCUACAGUAACUCUUAUGAUCUACAUAUUACUUACAUCAGUGUCUCUGAUCUGGGACUGUACUACUGUGCAGAACUAGAGAAAAAGGUAAAUAAAGAUGAAAAAGGCAUAAUCUCCUCAUCAGAGGUGUACUAUUAUGGAAACCGAACAACUCGUCUCUCUCUGGAAGUGUCUUCCUGUUCUGGACCCUUGAACACCACCUCCACACCACCUCUUGUAUCUGACUGUGUGCUGUGCUGGACGCUGCUGUUCAGUGUGUGUCCGGUGUGUGUUCUCCUCUUCUCCAUCUGUUUGUUCUGCCUCUGUUGUAAGAAAACUACAGAUGCUGUGACAGAUCAAAAAGACAAGUUAAAAUGUAGCAAUACAGCUGAGUGCAUGGAUGAAGAGGUGUGUUAUGCAUCUUUAGACGUGAUCACCAAGAGACAAAAACAACGCAAGUCAAAGCGAGUGCAGAGUUCUGACUUCAGUACUUAUGCUCAGGUCAGAACUUAAACUGAAUAGACCUAAAAUAGAACUGAUGUUGAUUCUAAAACUUUUCAAAUUUUAGAAAAGUUGCAGGUUUCAAUAUAACAUAACUUCACAUGUAAUCAUACAAGGUAGAGGUGUUUCUUCCAUUACAUAUUAAACUAAAUGAUAUGUUAUUGGAUACUUUUGAUUUUUUAUGAGCUGUAAAGUUGUUAGUCUGAUAUUUGGUAUAGUACAAUUUUUCCCUCUCUCUAAUAAAAGCAUUUUAGCACAGUCUUUGUGGACACACAGUGAUGACCUGAAUAACAGGAUGAAGAAGUGGGUUUCCUGUGUUUAGUGAAGUUUAGUUUAAUGUGUAUAUUUCUCUGAAACUGAAUGACUGCAACAUUUAUCUGAAUUUUACAAUGAGCCCAAUUUCCCCAAAACAUACUCCAUGCUGAGUAGGUUACUGUGUUUGGAAAACAACUUGUGACAUGUGAGCAGGCAGUCUUAAAAUUAUCUUAAUACCAUAAAGAAAAAGACAGAUGCCCACUUUAGUUACUCAUAUGUAGUAAUACACUUUUUUUUGUUUUUCUUUUUUGUUUUUUUCCUUCAGACUGGUGCAUGGUCGAUCUGCCUAUUUACUAAUUGUACAUUUGAUUGCAAGUUACAAGUACAGUUAAAACCAAAUUGAAAUCAAAUCACACUUGAAUCAAAUAUUCAAAGCAUCAGAUUUUCUCUUCAAAUGAGUUUUACUCAGUUGCACUGUCUGUGUUUUUCUCAAGAAAUGGUCUUGUUUAAUCCUUAGUUAAAAAGAUGUUAAUCUUAACCACAAAUUUUCCAUUCAGUUUAUUGGUUGUAUGCUUAUGAGACAGAAAUAGGUAGGACAGAGGUUGAUGUGUUGAGUUGUUUGUGGUAAAUUUGGUUUGCAUGCAAUGUUUGCAAAAGCCUGACUUACAGGAGCAGCCUUUCUUUAAAUUCUGGUGGAUGAGGAAGUAUCACAUUUAAUGCUUCUCAGAAUGAAGCACAAAGAGCAGGUUUCAGUGUUUGCAAGACAACACUUUGGACAUUUCCGUGUUACUUUGGUAGUGCACACCUCGUGACAACUCACAUGAUGUUCAAUAAUUUGCUUCUUCUACCUGUACAUUUACUUUGUCACUGUAUAUAAUGGAUAUUGAUGUUUUAAAGCAGGGGUGUCAAACUCAGUUCCUGGAGGGAUGGAGCUCUGCAGAGUUUUGUUCCAACCCUGCUCCAACACACAUACCAUGCAGUUUUUUUUUUUUAAAUAAGACUUGGUUAGACUUGGACUUGGUUGGAUCAGGUGUGUUUAAUUAGGCUUGAAUCUAAACUGUGCAGGGCUCCAGCCCUCUAGGAACUGAGUUUGACACCCCUGUUUUAAAGUAUGACAAUGCAUUUUUUUUUUACUUGAAAAUGAUCUGUUAUUGUAUUUCUGAAAUUGACUCAUUUUUGUUGGUCAAAUCAUUCAGUGUGUUUAGUUUAAGUAGUGGCCAGAGGGGGGCAGUGUGGGUUUGUUUUUUGUAAAAUCUGUGAAAAUGUCUAAAACGUGUCCAAAUGUUUGUUACAUUCCACAUUUAUUUGAAUAAUGUUUAUAAAGCACACAUCUAUGUGAAAGUUACAUAUCAAAUAAAUCAAUUGGUUUAAAUUAAUUCUUCCUAAUUGUGUUUGACAAACCAUUAAAGUCUUAAAAGAUAUAUUAACAAAGAUAAGUAUCAAAAGAACAUAUGAGGCAGGAACAUAUUCAUGUAUUAUUGUUGUUGAUUAUGGUGUGAGUAAGUGGGUAUGUAUGUGUGUUCCUGGGACUAUUAGACAUGUUAUUGAAAUGACCAGCAGGUGGCGCAUAGUUUCUACAAAAACUGUUUUACGCUUCAGUCCAACAUAAAAUCCAUUCCACAUUUUGCAGAAACACUAGUCUGACAGAGAAACCUAAAUUAUAGAGUUAUUAGAGGGUUAUUGCAGUAAUUCUGUUUGUAGCUGAAUUAAGGUGUGGGUGAUAUUAAGACAUUUAGACAAGUCUAUUCACCCAUUUAUGUAAUUAUUAUUCUAUAACUAUAGUAUCUCCACAAUAUCUACUGCAAUAGAUUUUCAAGAAUUUCCUACAUAAUAUCUGGGUUAUUAUCGUUAACUAAAACU
ensembl:lncRNA